UACAGAGGGGGCAAGCGUUGUUCGGAAUUACUGGGCGUAAAGGGCGCGUAGGCGGCCUUCUAAGUCGAACGUGAAAUCCCCGGGCUCAACCCGGGAACUGCGUCCGAUACUGGGAGGCUUGAAUCCGGGAGAGGGAUGCGGAAUUCCAGGUGUAGCGGUGAAAUGCGUAGAUAUCGGGAGGAACACCUGUGGCGAAAGCGGCGCACUGGACCACAACUGACGCUGAGGCGCGAAAGCUAGGGGAGCAAACAGG
rnacentral:rRNA from 1 species